GAACGAUCCUCCUGCAGACGACUCCCACGCAUACUGCUCGUCAUCGUUGUGUUUGGUGAUGACCGUGACUUUCUCGGCCACCAAGUAGGCAGAAUAGAAACCCACUCCAAACU